rnacentral:rRNA from 1 species
CAGUCGCCGCGGUAAUACGAAGGGUGCGAGCGUUAAUCGGAAUUACUGGGCGUAAAGCGUGCGCAGGCGGUUAUAUAAGACAGAUGUGAAAUCCCCGGGCUCAACCUGGGACCUGCAUUUGUGACUGUAUAGCUAGAGUACGGUAGAGGGGGAUGGAAUUCCGCGUGUAGCAGUGAAAUGCGUAGAUAUGCGGAGGAACACCGAUGGCGAAGGCAAUCCCCUGGACCUGUACUGACGCUCAUGCACGAAAGCGUGGGGAGCAAACAGGAUUAGAUACCCCCGUAGUCCCUGUCUCUUAUAC